ACUCUAGUCUGGCACGGUGAAGAGACAUGAGAGGUGUAGAAUAAGUGGGAGGCCCACGGCACCCAUUUCCUGAGUCUCCGCCAGGGGCGUGGAGUGAGUGGGGAUGCGGGCCUUGAGGGCCGCAGGUGAAAUACCACUACUCUGAUCGUUUUUUUUACUGACCCAGUGAGGCAGGGGGU
rnacentral:ncRNA from 1 species